rnacentral:rRNA from 1 species
GCUGACGAGUGGCGAACGGGUGAGUAAUGCGUCGGAACGUGCCGAGUAGUGGGGGAUAACUAUCCGAAAGGGUAGCUAAUACCGCAUACGCUUUGAGAAGGAAAGCAGGGGAUCGCAAGACCUUGCGCUAUUCGAGCGGCCGACGUCUGAUUAGCUAGUUGGUGAGAUAAGAGCUCACCAAGGCGACGAUCAGUAGCGGGUCUGAGAGGAUGAUCCGCCACACUGGGACUGAGACACGGCCCAGACUCCUACGGGAGGCAGCAGUGGGGAAUUUUGGACAAUGGGCGCAAGCCUGAUCCAGCCAUGCCGCGUGUCUGAAGAAGGCCUUCGGGUUGUAAAGGACUUUUGUCAGGGAGGAAAUCCCUAGCGCUAAUAUCGCUGGGGGAUGACAGUACCUGAAGAAUAAGCACCGGCUAACUACGUGCCAGCAGCCGCGGUAAUACGUAGGGUGCAAGCGUUAAUCGGAAUUACUGGGCGUAAAGCGUGCGCAGGCGGUUGUGUAAGUCUGAUGUGAAAGCCCCGGGCUUAACCUGGGAACUGCAUUGGAGACUGCACGGCUAGAGUGCGUCAGAGGGGGGUAGAAUUCCGCGUGUAGCAGUGAAAUGCGUAGAGAUGCGGAGGAAUACCGAUGGCGAAGGCAGCCCCCUGGGAUGACACUGACGCUCAUGCACGAAAGCGUGGGGAGCAAACAGGAUUAGAUACCCUGGUAGUCCACGCCCUAAACGAUGUCAACUAGCUGUUGGGGGUUUGAAUCCUUGGUAGCGUAGCUAACGCGAGAAGUGA